UACUGGCAGUGAGUGGUGAGUAACCGUUAACUUAAAACUAGUUUAACGCUAACGUUACUUUGGCACCAUGCUAGCUAGCUAGUUAGAUGCUAAGAGUUGUAACGUUAAGUCGUAUGCUUUUAUAAGUACAUAAAUUAAUUGUUUGUUUUUUGCCACGUGUAAUUACUUGUUCAGUGAAAUCAUUCGUUGCAUAGCUUUAUCUGUGAAUUUAUCAGUGUAACGUUACGUCGACGUUAACUUAACGUUACUCCGUGAUUCGCACAACGUUAUCAUUAACCUACAGAUACUAAGUACCAUUGAAGAACUUCGGGAGGAAAAUCAAAAGGUAUUUUUUUAACUUAACCUACCUGUUAUCCAGCAGUAGAAAUGAUUUCUUCCACUUCAGUAUACUCUCUCUCUCUUCUUUCUUUUGAAUAUAUAAAUAUAAUAACGUCUCAACCCAACCGGUCAAGGCAGAUGGCGUCCACCUAGAGUCCGGUUCAAGCAAGGAUUGAGGAGCACAUCCCAAAACCAACAAUGAAGUGAUCUACUAACAAGUAUUGUGCAUGAAGAGGAGUGACUACAUGAAUGCCGGAGGGAGUUACAGUUUUAUAUUUUACAGUUUUAAUCUAAGGAUAUUGUUUUACUACAAUGCCAUUAUUUUGCAUGUUCUAUGGCAGUUUUCAAAUAAAUGCUCUAUGCAAUUUUAAA